rnacentral:piRNA from 1 species
UCAGUGUGGCAGCUUAUACUGUCCUGGUGGC